rnacentral:rRNA from 1 species
CACGUAGGGCGCAAGCGUUGUCCGGAAUUACUGGGCGUAAAGCGUGCGCAGGCGGUUGUGUAAGACAGAUGUGAAAUCCCCGGGCUCAACCUGGGAACUGCAUUUGUGACUGCACAGCUGGAGUGCGGCAGAGGGGGAUGGAAUUCCGCGUGUAGCAGUGAAAUGCGUAGAUAUGCGGAGGAACACCGAUGGCGAAGGCAAUCCCCUGGGCCUGCACUGACGCUCGUGCACGAAAGCGUGGGGAGCAAACAGG